CAGGCCUAACACAUGCAAGUCGAACGGUCGUAGCAAUACGAUAGUGGCGCACGGGUGCGUAACACGUAACUAACCUACCUAUCACUGGGGGAUAGCCCGCCGAAAGGCGGAUUAAUACCGCAUAAUACUUGGUUUCGGCAUCGGGAUUUAGUUAAAGAUUUAUUGGUGAUAGAUGGGGUUGCGGGUCAUUAGCUAGUUGGUUGGGUAACGGCUGACCAAGGCGACGAUGACUAGGGGAGCUGAGAGGCUGGUCCCCCACACGGGCACUGAGAUACGGGCCCGACUCCUACGGGAGGCAGCAGUAGGGAAUAUUGGGCAAUGGGCGAGAGCCUGACCCAGCCAUGCCGCGUGCAGGAAGAAGGCUUUCUGAGUCGUAAACUGCUUUUGAUAGGGAAGAAUAAGCACUACGUGUACUGGGAUGACGGUACCUACAGAAUAAGCACCGGCUAACUCCGUGCCAGCAGCCGCGGUAAU
rnacentral:rRNA from 1 species